GACGAACCGUGCGAACGUUGUUCGGAUUCACUGGGCUUAAAGGGCGCGUAGGCGGGGGGUCAAGUCCGAGGUGAAAUCUUUCGGCUCAACCGGAAAAGUGCCUUGGAUACGGACUCUCUCGAGGGAGGUAGGGGCAUGUGGAAUUCCCGGUGUAGCAGUGAAAUGCGCAGAUAUCGGGAGGAACACCAGUAGCGAAGGCGGCACUCUGGGCCGUGACUGACGCUGAGGAGCGAAAGCGUGGGUAGCAAACAGG
rnacentral:rRNA from 1 species